AUACAGGGCCUGGCACAAAGAGACGCUUGGAUGUGUCAUCUGCAGCAGGUGUCGGGCCCCAGGCUGGAGGCCACGUGCCAGGCUGGCAGGAUUUGUCCACUGUGAAGCUCGACGCCCCCGCAGGCCCUGUGCUGCCCGCCCGGAUCCCCCUGCCUCAGGAUGCCCUCCACACCCUCCGAAUUCCCAGCCGCUGCUCUGGGGCCUGCACAGAGGGCUUGGGCCCAGCACCUGGAAACUCCAAAGAGGCAAACGGGUUCAUGUCCAGGUUUUGUCAGAUCGCUUCCGAGGCUGCCCUCUUCGCCGUGGCUGCUGAGUGCAGAGCUGGGCAUCUGAGUGGACAGAGUGGUGCUCCGCUUCCUUGCAUCUCCUGGGCCAUGCGUGGUGACCUGUGCCCACUGCAUCGCUCCUGUGUGCCCUGUGCAUGUGACCGUGUCUUUCCCGUGUAUUCAGUGCUGCUUCAUGUGUGAGUUUCUCUGUGUUCCAAACCCCAACUACAGUGAUUUUACAGAUGAACCUUAAUAGAUGUGAAAUCUAUAAGUAGCUAUUAAUCUUUGUGUCAUAUUUACUGCAAAUAUUUCCCCCACUCCACUAGCUUCCAGUUCCGCUUUGUGGUUUGUGAGUGACCAGUGCAUCCCGUUCCUGCUGCAGCAGCUGCAAUGUGCACUGUCCUGCAGGAAGCCCUCGGGGUAGGGCCUGGGGGCUGUGGGAAGCUCAGCAACAAGAUUCCCAACACCAGAGCUUCUAAGAGACCUGGAACCUCUUGAGUGAUGAGCGUGUCUUUUGUGUGCUGACGAGAGGACAGAGCUGGUGACCCUUGGGCAGCUUCAGGAAGGGACUGCUCCCCAGAAAGACCAAGGCAGGACUUAUAGGUGAGGACUUUCAGAUCCACCCCAACCUCCAGGAAGCGGGAGGGGAGAGAGGACAGGAGCUGAAGAUGGAACUGAUUACCGAUGGCCAAGAAUUUAAUCCAUUAUUCUGUUAAUGAAAAACCAAACUCUGUAAAACAUUUUAAAGAGGUUUAUUGGGACCCCUAAUACGGUGACCACAGCUUGGAGAAAAAACAAACCCAAGAAGCCUAGAGUGAGUGUUCCUGAGGUGCCUGGAUUACAGUCUGGCUUCAUGCACUUUAGGGGACAGGCGUUACAGGUGGACGAGAUAUAUAUUGGCUCAGCUCGAACACGCGGGAUAUCUGGAAGCAAGCCUUAUCGGUUAUAGGUGGAUUCAGAGAGUCUUCAGUUUGCGGCUGGUUAAAGGAGCAAAGCUUUAUCUAAAACCUAGAGUCAGCGAUGAGGACAUCUGCACCCGAAACAUGGGGCAGGGGUGACUAACAGGGUGCAUGACUUGACUUAACCCUCGUCUGACAUGGUCUUGGGUCCUGUUUGUAACUGGGGCUCUUAUUGCCACGGUCAGUUCUGUCAGCCUUCUGAUCUCUGUUUUGACAUUAAUGCCUAAAUUCCAAAGGGAGUGGGAACAGCCAGGCGUCCAAUCUCCCUUCCUGUUGCGGCCGGGAACUGUUUUCCAGGUUUCUCUGGGGUCCCCUUGGCCAAGAGCGGGUCCAUGUAGUCACUGGGGGCCUUAGGACGUUAUUUUUGGUGCCUGUGUUGGGGCUUAGAAGAUCAUACUCCAAAAUGAGGGCCCCAGCAGCAGCCUCUGAAGCAAGUUUCUGUCUGAGCUUCUCCCAUCCUCUGUGUCUCAGUACCACUCUCACUCAAGGUGCCAUAGAAAUGGGAAUCCUUCUUCCCCACAGUGGGUCCUAGAAACCAGAACCCCUUUCCCCAAAGCCAGCCAUACAACCAAAAACUAGGGCUCUAAUUUUCCCUGUGCCUCUGUGUGUACAAACUGGCCAUAAAGAAAUGGUCUGACCUACCUGGCUUGGCUGUAGCUCCUAAGACCCCCAUUCCAGAGAGGGUCCCACCCACACCCAGAAGGAGAGGGCGCUGCUCAGAGAGGCCAAGGAGAAUCCAGACACACAGACCAGGCUGGCUUUCCCCACUCAGUCCAUUAGCAUCAGAUCCAGCUAAGCCUCCAAUCCUAUUUCUACAUGGCUGCCCAUACUUCAUUGAACCUAAGCAUAAAAAUGAGCUGUUUAUCUGAAGGGUCCCUUGUAUACACAUUAAUUUGUGUGCCUUUUCUCCAGUUAAUCUGCUUUUUGUGAGUUGACUUUUCAGAGAACCCUUGUAAGGCUGAGGGAAAAGCUCUCCCUUGGCCCCACACCUACAUAAUGGAACCUCCAUGAGGUACACAUAAUUUAGGAUGUCUAUCCUAAAUGAUGGGGUUCCAAAAACUCCCAGGGUGGUGAAUUCAUCCAGAUGCCGGGAGGGAGGACGGUGCACUGCAACCCAGGUUGUUAGUCUCAGAAUUGAAUGGAAUUCCAGGACAUCCAGUUGGCAUCCAAGGAGCUGGAAAACUGGGUGGUGUGGGAAAUAAAAACCUGAUAGGUUUGGGAUCAUGAGAGAAAGAGAUACCCUUUAGCCACCUUCUCUGUUUCCUCAUGAGAAAAGAAAGUCAUGUUUAUCUGAGGACUGUGAGUCCUUUUAAAUUAUCAGGCCCAAGGUGUUAAGAUGAGGCAGCCGUCAUGUCCUACUCCCCCCUGCCUACUCAAGCUGUGUAUUCAUCUCUGGAAACUGCUUGCUGUUGCCACAAGAGGCUAUAAAUUAAUCGAACAAUGCUACACUGGACACUGUAACCACACCCUAUAGCUUAACAAUAUAUAGCCCAUCAAUAGCUUAUUUUUUUUUGAGACGGAGUCUUGCUCUGUCACCCAGGCUGCAGUGCAGUGGUGUGGUCUCAGCUUACUGCAACCUCUGCCUCCUGGAUUCAAGCGAGUCUCAUGCCUCAGCCUCCAGCGUAGCUGGGAUUACAGGCACACGCCACCACACCAGGAUAAUUUUUUGUAUUUUUAGUAGAGACGGGGUUUCACCAUGUUGGCCAGGCUGGUCUCAAACUCCUCACCUCAAAUGAUCCGCCUGCCUUGGCCUCCCAAAGUGCUGGGAUUACAGGUGUGACAACACUCAGCCUAGCUUAUGUUAUUUUAAUGUAAAUUCUUGGUAAACAACUUGGGACCUGCCUCUUCUCCCCAGAGUCCUGGAUAACCCUCUCUGCCCUGUCUCCUUCCCACCUACCGCCCUGAAGGCUGCUUCCGCCUCUGCCCAGACUGCAGAUGCUCCCAGGCUGUGUCCUCUGCCCGCCUCUUCUCUCCAGCCCUCUCUCAUGGCAGUCCCACCUGACAACUCCCAUGGCCUCCUGGGUGUCCUGCAAAGGCUUUGUCACUGGUGUCACUCCUCCAGGCCUCAGAUAAUUCCAGAUACACAAGCGCUCUCCCAACAAGCCAUAUUCUCACCUCUGCAAAGCAUUUCCAAGCAUCUCCGUUUCCUCUGCAUAAGCGACACGGCCCAGCCACCCGAGCCCUCGUUGCCAUCCACCACUGGGCAUCAGCUUCCACUCCCGUCUUUCUCGUGUCCUCUGGUCCAGCCCCUGGUGAGCUCCAGCCAAGCACCGCCUACUGGGCCUCUGGUCUUUACCUGUUCUGUUCCCUCUGCCUGGAGUUUUUUUAAGUAGAAAAAUGCGAGAAUGUGGAGUGGGAAUGUAAAAUGGUGUGGCUGCUGCAGAAAACACUUUGGUGGUUCCUGAAAAAGUUUAGGCAUACACUUAGCAUGGGACUCAGCAUUUACCCCUUAAGCACACGCCCCAUGGAAACAAAACCUGUUCCCUCGGAAACGCGCACACAGACGCUCGUAGCUACGUCCUUCGUAACAGCUGGAAGGCGGAUGUUGGGAACAGGCCCCCCAAAAUCUGGCCAUAAACUGGCCCCAAAACUGGCCAUAAACAAAAUCUCUGCAGCACUGUAACAUGCUCAUGAUGGUCAUGACGCCCACGCUGGAAGGUUGUGGGUUUACCGGAAUGAGGGCAAGGAACGCCUGGCCCAUUCAGGGCGGAAAACCGCUUAAAGACAUUCUUAAUCCACAAACAAUAGCGUGAGCGAUCUGUGCCUUAAGGGCAUGCUCCUCCUGCAGGUAACCAGCCAAACCCAUCCCUUUAUUUCCAGCCCAUCCCUUUAUUUCCCAUAAAGAAUGCCUUUAAAUCUAUAAUCUAUAAAAACAAUGCUUAUCACUGGCUUGCUGUCAAUAAAUAUGUGGGUAAAUCUCUGUUCAAGGCUCUCAGCUCUGAAGGCUGUCAGCCCCGAUUUCCCACUCCACACCUCUGUAUUUCUGUGUGUGUGUGUGUCUUUAAUUCCUCUAGCGCCGCUGGGUUAGGGUCUCCCUGACCGAGCUGGUCUCGGCAGGCGGAGACGACCGGGUGUCCACCACAGGUGAAGGGAUUAACAAAUGGUGCCCGGUCCCUGGGGUGGGAUAUUAUGCAUCUGUGAACAGAAGUGAGACACUGAUACACUGAGGGGACUCAGGGGCCACCACUGGGAUGAGGCUUGGAAAUGUGGCUUCCACCGAAAGAAGUGAGACACAAACGUUCGCACACCGCGUGAUUCCUUUUAUAUGAAAUAUCCAAAACGGACAAAUCCAUAGAGACAGAAAGCAGAUCUGUGGUUUCCAGAGGAUGGGGAAGGAAUGAGGAGUGAUUACUUAAUGGGGAUGAGCUGUUGUUCUGGAGGGAUGAAAUGUUCUGAAACUGGAGAAGCAGAGGUUGCACAACGUCGUGAAUCCAGCAAAUGCCGCCGAAGUAUAUGCUUCAAGAUGGCUGUUAAGUGAAUUUCACUCCAUAAAAGGUGUGUUUUAGAGGGUUAUGCCCAUGAGCGAGCCUACCUAUACAUGUGCAGUGUCACAUUACUGAGACGAUUCUGUUUAGAGCAAAGCCACCUACCUCCCACGUCCCUUUCCAGCCUGUCUUCUUAGCCACCUGCCUCCCACAUCCUUCUCCAGCUUUGUCUCCUUGCAUGCAGCCCUCUCAGGGCUUUUGAGGCCUGGAGGCCAAGGGUGCUGGGAGGUCCCACUUUGUACCCUCUCCCGAGAGCUUUGAGGGGUACCUGCCGCCUCUAGCUGUGCCUUCUCUGUGCCCUUCAACUCUGGAGUGAGGUCAGAUCUUGGCUCUGGGGCCACCACCAGCUGUUUCAGGCUUGCAAAGUUCUGUCCGACAAAAUACAGCUCCGCUUCCCUGUGGGGGGAAGCAUUGGCCCCAACAGGCCUUCUUCACCAACGGGGACAGCAGUCCCUUGAGUGGAGCCCUGGACUCAGGGAGCUCUGGUCAGUGAAACUCUCAGCUAGGGGCUAAGGGUAUGGGGACCUUCAUAUGUGGGACAGGCUCCUCGCUGGGGACGCUGCCACCAGGCCUGUGAGGCAGCCAGCCAAGUUCCACUUGCUGCAGCUGGGGCUGCUCUGGACGGCCAAUCCAGACACCUCCCCCCUCUCCACCCUCUUUCCAUCCUCAGGUUUGCAUUUCUUAGGUCUGGCACUUCAACUGCAAAGUACAAGUCCUGGGCUAUCUCCUCCUGCUCUGCUGAAGGCCACAUCGAUGCUUGGAAGGUAGGGUCAGCCCAGUCCCUUGCUCCACACACCCAACUACACUGAUGGAGCGACCGUCUACACAGGGAUCCUACGGUGGGGAGUGAGCCUUGCUGGCCUGAUGCAUGGCAGUGGUUCCUGCUCCAAUAAGACCAAGAAUAAUUAAUAACUGUGACUAAGUUAGAAGCUUUGGCUGCAUCUGAAUUCACCAGCGUUUCCAGCUCCUGAGGCCAUGUGCGGUGUCACCUCACUCCUGGCAGACAGACUCCCACUCGGAGGAUGAUUUUUCAUAGCCAGGGUCGCUCUGUGGACCUUGGAUGGACCAACGUGCUUUCCAUGUCCAACUUUGUCAAGAUCCGGGGAAGAUUCUCCAGCAAGUCUCUUGGAAACAUGUGCAUGUGGCCCCAGGCGACGUGAGGGGUGCAGUCUGCCUGCGUUAUGCAAUGCUCAGGCCAGUUUUCCCUGAGAGAGGAAUGCUGCCGAUCCUCUGCGGUAACCCACAAAACUCCACGGAGAUGCUUGGAAGGAAAAGCAUCGCGUCCUCCAGAUGUUUUGAAAUGUUCAAGUAUUUAAAAGGGAAAUGGAAUUUCUGUUUAUCCUUUUAAGUGACAAUUAUUCAUUGCGUCUUCCUGGCCACAGCUCAUUCAGCACUACUGCAGAUCCGGCCAGACCCCCAGGAGCCGCGGCCCCUGCACAGCCAAGGCCAAGAAGCUCCCAUCGUGGAGGGGGGCGCAUUCCGGACCUGUGAGGCCCGGGGUUCGUUUUUAUGCCUCCUUAAAGGGAUGAGCCAGAGAAGAAAGUCUUCGCAAAGCCUUUGCCCCAGGAGGGGCGGGGCUGCGCAGGGCGCCUGUGGAGGCCGUGGCCGGGCAGGUGGGGAGGCUCACACACAGGCCAGAGGCUUCCCUGGAAACUGACGCCCUAGGGCAGGUCCAGCUCCUGGAUGGUCGCAGGUGAAGAAACGCCAGGCCCAAGGGUCCUGGGAGAGAGAGGGGAACAGCGCCCAGGAAGAGGUGCAGGUUCCCAGGGACUGCAAGGGCCGCCGCCACCCUCCCACACCCCACCCUCGCUGCAUCACCAGUCAGCCCAGGGCAGGCUGCUGACCCUCCCUUGGCCUCAGUUUCCUCAUCUGUAAAAUGGAAAAAGAAGCAUGUCCACCUCACCAGUGGUCACAGUCACAGGUGCUGACAUGGAGAAGGAUUGAUGCGUCCUCCUGAGUGCUGCCUUGUCAUGCUAUAAACCAGGAGGCCUGGCUCUCUGCCUCCCGGGAAGGUCUGUUUCUAAUCCUGUGCUGGGUCUGCGUGGCUCCAUGGCCUCAGAGGCUGACACCGAGUGUGGUGUCCCUGGGUCACCGUGCUCCUUGGUUUGGUCCAGCAGGAGAAAGGGCAGCCUGCCAAGGAGAAGGCUGUGAGCUUGGCAGGGGAGAACUUAGGCGCUGUGCCUUUGGGAGGCUGGGAUUUAGAUCACAGCUGGGAAGCUAAGUCCUGACUGCACUGGCCGGAACCAAUGGGCUCCAGUAGCCGGAUGCUCUGCCAAGUCAGGAGGUAAUAACCGCCACGGCCUGGGAGAGAAGCUGGCACAGCCGUGGGCCCCUGCCCUGCGGUCUGGCCUCGCAGGUCCCCAGGCCGUGUACAGACACUGUGCGGCAGGGAAGCAGAGGCAGCCAUGGGGAGCAACCCUGUUUCUCAGUGCUACAUGCCUACUCUCCCUGAGCUGAUGUCUGGAAGACAGUAAAGGAGACCUGAGGCAGUGCUGCCCCUCCUUCCGUCUGCCACCUCCUCAGGGCUGGCCCAGGCCCUGCAGAGCAGGUGGUGGUGGCUGCUGGUGGUAAAGCCCGUCCAUCCAGAGCCUCGCUCUGCUCCCAAACCACCCACCUCCCGCUGCACAUGUGGCAGCUUCAGGAGCCUGGCGGGGCUAAGAGGAGAUGACAGACCCCAGCAAGGACAGGCUCAGCUUCUUGGGGACCGAGUCAUUGCCUGUUGCUUCUCCUGGGGGCCUCGACUGUCCGAGUGUGUUCAGGCACACGGUGCCCUGUCUGUUUCCCAGGCACUUGGGCCAAGGCUGGACAGGGAGGUGCCAUGUGGGACGAAAGCCCAGGCUGUGCAGUGCUGGUCACCGGGAGUGACCAUGGGUGAAGUCGCGCUGUGAGUGACUGCCUGUUAUCACUGACCACGCAGGGCCAUCCUGGGUGACCCGCUGUGCCACAAGCAACUGGUUCACAUUGGAGCCCCCCUCUGGAGCCCUGGGCAACCCGCUGCCAGUGGGCCUUUCUCCUGAGGCCCCUGGAGUCCCGGAGCAUCCCGUGAGUUCAUCUGCCAUACCUGUGAUUGCCAUGUGGGCCCAGCGCCCUCCAAUGGAAAAGCUGCAUUCAGUUCUGCCCGAGGAUCCCAGGCCUACGACACUGUCCUCAGGCUGCCAGGGAGCAGGAGGCUGUGGGGAUCUGCGUUCUUGCCAGGCCUGGGAGCAGCAGCCAAAAAGUGGACUUACGUGGACAAAAUGUUGGGCCAGGGAGGAGCCCUCGGCUCUGGACGGAUGUCUCUGGUGCUUUUAUGCCACGUGCAUUUCUGCAGAUUUGAUGCCCGGCAGCCAGCACUGGGCUGUGGCCAUGGUGGUGAGGCAGCCUUGGGUCUGCACGAGGCUCGGAGGCCUCCAGGAACCUCCCAGGAAUGUGACUGUGCCUGGAGAGAAGCGCCAUCUGCACGGCGCAGUCCAGAUGCUUCUCUCCUACAAGCCCAUCAUCAAACACACAGCUGCCCAGACUUCAGCAGGAUUUGUGCACAAGAAACGCAAAGGCACAGUCCAUCGGGUGAGGCAGAGGUGGAAGGAGCACCGGGGUGGGAGUGGAGGAGCACCGAGGUGGGGGCGCAGGAGCACCGAGGCGGGGGCGCAGGAGCACCGAGGCGGGGGCGCAGGAGCACCGAGGCGGGGGCGCGGGAGCACUGAGGCUGAGCUGUCUCUAGUGAUCUCUCAAGCCUCAGUGCAGUGGCCACAGGGCAAGGUGCCUCCUGGUGUGUCCUCGCCUCCAAAUCAGGCUGCUCCACUUCCCAGGUCAGAGUCCUGGGGGGUUGUGUUGACCCUGAGCCCCCACGAGCAUCCAAUCCAGCAGAGCUGGAAGGACCCAAGAACCUGCAUUCCUCAUGGCUCCCAUCAUGCUUCCGGUCCAGGAGCCACCAUCCAGACCACACUCCCAUUCAUCCCCUGGCCACGGAAGCUGAAGCCUUGGUUUCCCCACCUGUAAAGUGGGAGUAUCAACAUCACCCACAUCAAAGGGCCUGGAUUAGAUGCGGUGAUGCCCGUGGACUUUAGCAGCCCCGGUCCUCCAGGGGCCCUCCCAGGGAGCUGAGGCCCGGGUGGUCCUGGCGGCCGCUCCUUCUCCAGGCCGAAGACAGGAAGGUCUCUUGGGCUGACCUCAGGCAAGAGGCGGGGUGGGUCACGGCCUCCAGGGCCAGGCUGGGGCCUCCACAGAAAGCCCGUGGGUGGCGAGAGGGAGCCGGCUGGGGUGACUGAGGGUCGCUGGGUAGAUGAGGGAGGGACCCGGGGUUCUUGUGUUCACGUGUGUAUUUGCCCCGUGUUUCUGCUGACAUGCCACGUGUGCAACAAACAGGCUUGGCGAGCCAUCCCCACCACCCAGGCCGAGACGCCAGACGUGACUGGCACCCCAGGGUUCCCUCCCGGCCCCCAGAGGUAACCCCAAUGCUGGUUUACCACAGAUGACUCAUUCUGCCUGUUUUAGGGUUUUGAGUAAAUGAAACCCAACAGCGUGCAGUCUUUUUGCCUGGCUUCCCUUUAACCACGUCUGAGAGGCUCACUUUGCGGUUGCUUCUGUGGCUCCUGGACAGUUUCCCUUGUGCGGACACAACUCAGUGAGAGCACCCCUUCUUCCAUUUGUAGACUUUCCAAAUAGUCCAGGCGAGAGAGGCUCAGGUCUUGAGUUCAGGGAGGGGCAAUGCACAAGCAGACGCCAAGUGGAAGGGAGUACACCCCUCCCUUGGCGGGGAGGCCCUCGGGCUGGUGGGGAUGAGCGCCCCUCAGACGGCACCUGCGGGUGACAGGGUGUGACAUUCUGCUGUUUCUCGGAAGUAACUCGCAAGCAGCAUGGGGGUUCCUAGUGUGUUUCACAGACUCUCACCAAAUGUUAGGGUUCACUCCUUGUCCUACAGCUUAAAUACACCAAAAGUGAGAAAAUUACGAGAUAACAUUUCCCUCAGAGACCCAUAUUCUGUGUUAAAGAAUUCUUCCUUCUACCUAAAUCCAUCUCUUUACGGUCAGAUGUCAUUGGUUGUGGUAUUUUGUCCAUUUUCAGCUUUGUUUAGAUUUUUUUGACAUGCAAUUAAAUGCCCAUAUUUAAGACGUACGGUUUGAUAAGUUUUGACAUUCUGCUGCACCCACAGAGCCAUGACCACAAUCGAGACCAUGGACAUCCCCUCCCCCAGGCUGGCCCCUGCCCCGUCCCUCCACCCUCCUGCUCCUCUGAUGACACUGACCUUUCUGUCACUGUAGAUUAAUUCAUUUCUGUCCUGGGUAACACAGCGUGUAUACUCUUAUUGCCUGACAUUGUCUCACAGUGUAAUUAUUUUGAGAUUCAUCCAACAAUUCAUCCUUUCAAUGCUGGGGAGCACUAGUUGCAUGGGUGUAUCAUAAUUGGUUCAUCCACUGACCCGUGGAGGACGUUCAGGUUGUUUUGGAUUUUGGUGAUUACAGGCAAGGUUGUUGUGAACGUUUACGACACAGUCUUUCUGUGGACGUUCCCAGAACAGACAUGUCUGGGUCACAUGGUGACUCUGUGUAGCUUUUUAAGAAAUGGCCGAACCGUUCCCUGUGGUUCUUGUGUUAUGAUCCUGCCAACAUGCUGCGCGCUCCAGUUGCCCCACAUCCUCGCCAGCCCUUGGCAGGGCCACUUUUGAACAUGUUAGCCAUGCUGGUGGGUUUGUAGGCACCUCUCAUACUGGUCUUCGUUUGCACUUCCCUAAGGACUAAAUGGUUGUCAGCAUCGUCUUGCGUGCUUCUGUCUGUUAAUAUAGCUUCUUUGGUGAAAUAUCCAUUCAAAUAUUUUGCCUACUUUUUAAUUGAAUUGUUUUGUCUCAUUAUUGUGUUGAAAGGCUUCUUGACAUGUUUUAGAAAGAAGUCCUUUUUGAACAUGGUUUGCAAAUAAUUUCUCCAGCUUGGCAGCUUGCCUCUUUAUAGUGUCUCUUAAAGGGCAAAAGUUUUAAAUUAAUAAAAUUUAGCUUAUUGGUUUUUUCAUGUAGUUUGAACUUUUUGUGUUCUAUUUAAAAAACCUUUCCCAAACUAAAAGUCACCAUGAUUUUAUCUUAUCUUCUUCUUACAAGUUUUACUGUUUUAGUUCACACAUUUAGAUUUAUGACCUAUUACAAUUUUUUUUUUUGAGAUGGAGUCUCGCUCUGUCAGCCACACUGGAGUGCAGUGGCGUGGUCUUGGCUCUCUGUAACCUCCACUUCCCAGGUUCAAUCAAUUUUCAUGCCUCAGUCUCCUGAGUAGCUGGGAUUACAAGCACAUGCCACCAUGCCCAGAAAAUUUUUGUAUUUUUAGUAGAAACAGAGUUUCACCAUGUUGCCCAGGCUGGUCUUGAACUCCUGACCUCAAAUGAUCCACCUGCCUCAGCUUCCCAAAGUGCUGGGAUUACAGGUGUGAGCCACUGCAUCCAGCCCAAAGUUAAUUGUUGUAUGUGGUGUGAGGUAAGGGUUUUGAGGAUUUGUAAUUGUUUUAUUUUGUUGCUUAUGGGUGUCCAAAUGACCCAGCAUUCCUUGUGGAAAAGGUUAUUCUCUCCCUGUUGAAUUGCCUCAGCACAUUUAUCAAAAGUCAAUUGGCCAUAAAUGAGUAGUGGCCAUAGAUGAGUAGGCCUGGGUGUUGUUCUGUCUCAUUGACCUAUUUAUCUGUUAUAAUGAUUAUAUUGACUGUCUUGAUUAAAAUCAAGUAAUAUAAAUUCUUCAACUCUGUUCUUUUUUAUGCUUGCUUUGGUUACUCCAAGUCCUGUGCAUUUCUGUAUAAACCUUAGAAUUAGCUUACCAAUUUCUACAAAAAUCCUGCUGGGAUUCUGAUUGGGAUUGUGUUGAUUCUGGAGAUCAAUCUGGGGAGAGUUGGCAUCUUCCAUGAACAUGCUAUGGCUCCAUUUAUUUAGGCCUUUUUUCAUUCCUCUCAUUGAUGUUUCUCAGUUCUCAGUAUAUAGGACUUGUAAAUCUUUUGUCAAGUUUAUUUCUAAGUCCUCAGUAAUUUUAGCUUUGCAUUUUGAGCUAAUUAUAGCUUCACAAAAAGUUGCCGAAUAGUACAGAGGGGUCCCACAUUCCAUUCCUCAGCUUCCUACAAUGCAGCACUUUGCAGAGCUACAACAAAUUCUUAAAACCAGGAAACUGAUAUGGGCACCACGCAAGUCACUGGAUGACGGAGCUCAUUUGGACAUCCUAGGUUUCCGUGUGUUUGUUUUAUUCUGGGUACGACUCCGUGUGGAGAUUCUGCGAUGUGUGGCCGCAUAUGUGGAUUUCUGUAACCACAACCACAUUCGAGAUGCAUGACCGUCCAUCCCCACAGGUGUGAGGUGUGCCCCGCGGGGCCCUUCUCUAACCCACAGCACCCGCCGGCGUCACUCAUCCUUUCAAGAGUGUUAUGGGAACGGAGUGCGGAAUGCAGCCUUUGAGAUGGAGUUUUCUCCCAGAGUCUGUUUCUCUCCGUUGCUGAGCACGUUGUGUGGUGUGGAGGCACCACGAUGCGUCGGACACGCACCUGCUGACAGACAAUGGGGCUGUUCCCAGGUUUUCGCUGUUCCAAAUAAAGCUGCUAUGAUCGUUUGUG
rnacentral:lncRNA from 1 species